rnacentral:rRNA from 1 species
AGCAGCCGCGGUAAUUCCAGCUCCAAUAGCGUAUAUUAAAGUUGUUGCGGUUAAAAAGCUCGUAGUUGGAUUUCUGUUGAGGACGAUCGGUCCGCCUUCUGGGUGAGUAUCUGGCUCGGCCUUGGCAUCUUCUUGGAGCACGUACUGCACUUCACUGUGUGGUGCGGAAUCCAGGACCUUUACUUUGAGGAAAU